rnacentral:rRNA from 1 species
CUACGGAGGGUGCAAGCGUUAAUCGGAUUUACUGGGCGUAAAGCGUACGUAGGCGGUUUGAUAAGUCAGAUGUGAAAGCCCCGGGCUCAACCUGGGAACUGCAUUUGAAACUGUCAGACUAGAGUUUGGUAGAGGGUAGUAGAAUUCCUGGUGUAGCGGUGAAAUGCGUAGAUAUCAGGAGGAAUACCAGUGGCGAAGGCGGCUACCUGGACCAAAACUGACGCUGAGGUACGAAAGCGUGGGGAGCAAACAGGAUUAGAAACCCCAGUAGUCC